rnacentral:rRNA from 1 species
AAUCACUUGUCUUUUAAAUGAAGACCUGUAUGAAAGGUAUCACGAGGGCUUAACUGUCUCCUUUUUCCGGUCAAUGAAAUUGAUCUCCCCGUGCGGAAGCGGGGAUUAAGCCAUAAGACGAGAAGACCCUGUGGAGCUUGAGACGUUAAGACAGCCCACGUCCACAACCCGCCCAUGGGAAUGAACUGAGUGGUCACUGCCCGAAUGUCUUCGGUUGGGGCGACCAUGGGGAAAGCAAAACCCCCACGUGGAAAGGGAGCACCAGAAGGAUACCCCGCGACCAUACAACCAGACUCCUGAGAACUAGAGCCCCGCUCUACUUAAACGAAAUAUUCGACCUAGACUGAUCCGGCAUCGCCGAUCAACGGAACAAGUUACCCCAGGGAUAACAGCGCUAUCCCCUUCCAGAGCCCAUAUCGACAAGGGGGUUUACGACCUCGAUGUUGGAUCAGGGCAUCCUAAUGGUGCAACCGCUAUUAAGGGUUCGUUUGUUCAACGAUUAA